rnacentral:lncRNA from 1 species
AUGGUGGUUAUUGAUGGGAAGGCCAUUUCCUUUGGGUUUAUGGCUUCGAAUUUAGGUCCCUUGUUGAUUUCCCUCCCUAUUUUCACACUCACAGGACAGUUCUACGCAUUUACUUGGCAAACAAAGAAGCAGGAGGCACUGUGUGGGGCUGAUUCCUCAAGAGGAAGCAAGCAAGAGGCCACAGGUGACAGAGAGUGCAUACAUGCCCUCACAUUCCUUCAACAUGUGCUGAAUGUGUGUCCCUGCCCUGUGCAAGGUAAUGGAUUUACAGCUGUGAGCAUGGCAACAUCAUUGCACUGGAUAAUGAUGGCUCUGACCCUCCGAAUCUUUCACAAUCUGGUAAGUGAAAUGAAUGAGGGAACCAAUUUCUGUGUGUUCAGGCCAGUAUCUCAGACUAUUAGAUCCAGCCUGGGAAUAAAACCCAUUUUUAAUGCACCAUUUGAUAAGAACACUUAACCUCAGUAUGUGUUGUAAUUAGAGAGAUAAUUAGAACUUCACCAGAACCUCUUAAGACUAGGAAUAUAUUUGAAAUUCACCUAGAAUGAAAAUUGCAUUAUCUAAGACCAAUCCAAGGUAUGUUUCCUUCCAACUCUACCUUGCUGCCCCCCUCCCCAACCCCAAAGCUUUUGCAGUCUGAGAAGUGUGAAAAGAUAAGGAUUUUACAGGUAGUGUAUAUCACAGGAGGCUAAUGGGUUCAGUUGAAAAUUGCUUUAUAGUUAUUUGAAAAGGGAAAAAAAACCGCUUAAUUUUGAAAAUGAGUUUCAAAGGCUGAGUAUGAAGGAGAAGGAGUAUGAGUCAUGUAGGCAGAGAGGAAAAAAAAAACCACAAAAACCUACUUUUGUAGGAACCUACUCAUAAAAUGUUAAUAUAUGCAUAAGAAAAUUGUGUUCCUUAAUCUCUGAAGAAACACUUAUCACUAAGAACCCUUUAAUUCUUUUCCUGUGCUUGAUUUAUUAGCUUAUGAAAUUAUGUUAAUAACCUUCAUGUUAAUGGUUUGGGGGCUCAAAUGACCUGAUUUUAAUAAUGAAGUAAUUUAUGCA